rnacentral:lncRNA from 1 species
UACCCCAUGGUUCCUCUAGCUGUAGUCAUGGAAACAGCACUCUGAUCCUUGGAACAUAGUUUCGCCAGACCAAAAUCAGAAAUUUUCGGACUGAAAUUAUCGUCUAGCAAGAUAUUAUGAGGUUUGAUGUCGAAAUGGAGGAUUCGCUGAUCACAACCUUGGUGAAGAUACUCUAUUCCCUUAGCUAUGCCAAGAGCAAUAUCCUGAAGCUUCUCCCAACUAAGAGGACAGGUCUUGCCGUGUUCUGAAGAUACAAAUUUCUCUAGUGAUUCAUUUGGCAGGUAGUCGUAAACUAGAGCUCUUCUAAAUCCAUCAGCACAGUAACCGACUAAUCGAACAAUGUUGACAUGAUGAAUUCUUCCCAUUGUUCCCACUUCGUUAACGAACUCUUCACCAUUCCCUGUUGAAUUGUUCAGGAUCUUCACAGCUACAAAGAUCUCAUUAGAAAGCUUUCCUUUAAACACAGUUCCAUAUGCACCCUGACCCAAUUUCUCCUUGAAAUCAUUUGUAAUCCUUUUUAUGUCAGCAUAAGUGUAUCUAGCGGGCUUGAGAGCUUUAUAAUCUGCCAAAAAAAAUUCAAUCCUUUUCUGAUGUUGUUUUGCUGCUUUGUCGGAGCUGUAGACACGAUAGAGCGCAAAGACUAUCAGCAGCAGAAUAGCUGAACCAACAGUUGUAACUGCACAGGAAACAUUUCUAGUCAAGAAAAGACAUUCUAGAUAGUUUAGCAGAUGCUAGGCAAGGAAAGAAGCUCAGAAUGCCAAAUUUGGAGAAAUCUUACCUGCAGCCACUAUCUUUUUUAUUAUGCCUGCACAAGAAAAUGGAACUGUCAGCUUCUCAGCAGCAUGACAUGACAUUUGACAAUCAUACUUCAUGGCUUCUAUGAAAUCAUGACUAACUAGCACAAGUAACUGAUGCUCAACAUUUAUCAACACAGUCAACCUACCGACAAAUGGACCGAUUUGUUUCCAAUUAAGAAUACUUUUAAAUUUUGAAAAGCUGACAUAUCCUAUAAAUGAUCCUAAUAAGGAGAGAAAAGGUGAGCAAAUCCCACUGUAUGUCAAUACAACAACUCACUAAAUAGUUCUGGCUAAAAGGAGAUUCUGCACCCAAACAUUCCCCAAGCAACAUCUGCAAAUCACCAAUACCCAAAACAGUAUUUGAUAAAGCACUAUAACCAUUCGUCGAACCACUUCUACAAACCACCAAUGCCAAGAGUAGCACUACUCAUGCUAGGCCAAAACGAACAUGGCUCAAGAGGUAGACUGUGAAACAAGACUGAUGGACCUCAUAAAUAUCAACAUAUAAAAUGCCAUGCUGCUGCUGCGUGCCAAAACUCUUAUAGCUGCUCCUGCUGCUAUUGCUGUUGCUGCUCCCACAGCUGAGAAUAAUCUCAAUUGCCUAAGAUUCACCUGAAUCACCAUCUCCCAAAUUUAUAUCCAUCACCAAAAUUCACCCCUUGAAGUCCAAGCUCCGAUUUGACUGUGUAAGUACUAGUAGCUCAAAACAAGAAACACCAUUCCGCCUUAACGAGCUAAACCCUACAAAUCCACCUGCUUUAUACCCAAGACAACUCCCCUAGCAAGAUCACCAUCUCCUCUAACUAGUCCCCUGACAACGCCUUCAACUAUUUAACCAUUACCAACCUGAACUUUCUCUGUAGAACACUAAAUUCCAACAACCAAAUUGCAGACCUUCAUCCACCUCAAUGCCUUAGCCUCAAACAGGAAAACUGAGCUAAAAAACAACUAAAACACCAGCCUUUUGCAAAUGAAAGCAACAGGGCAGUUAGACCAGAUGCAGCAGCAGGUUAUAGAAUAUCAAUUAUCAAAGCGAACAACUCAAAGCACUAACUUAUCAUAUUCCUCAUCCAUAGAUCCAUUGGAAAGGAUCAAAGCAGGAUCCAAUCAAGAGCAAACUAGACGAUGGAAGCUAGAGGUGGGUUUAAAGUGUUUUUGAUGGGUAUUUCAAGAAUUCCAAUUAAGAAUACUUAAAUCUUAUUUUCUUAACUAAACAAAUAAUCCAACAGUUCCAAAAUAAACACUCAAUUUGGAUUGUCUUCAAAUAAACUAAAGCAGAAAGUGUAAGACAUGCUAUACCUUCAUUUGAUUUAGGCUUGUCAUAGCAUUCAGUCUCGAUCAUAUCUGUGUUAUUCUUCAAUCUGCAGAACUUACCCAGUGCUCCACAAAGUCCACAUGCCGGUCUUGACCAAUUCAAAUGAAGAGUGUUGUCCCAGCUAUUUAAAUCAUCUGGAACCGAUGAAAGGUUAUACAUCUUGCUACAAGAAGUCAGGUCGAAAUAAGUAACGAUACUACCAGACAUAAAGGCAUAAAUAUCAUAUCCUGGAACACCAAGGCAAGACGUCCAUAGAUAAGAGUCUCUCUGCCUUGAAGUGCAGUUGAAAAAGUCCAAGUCCCUCUGUAACUGUGCUGCAAAUUUGAAAGGAGAUGUUGAUAAACUGAAGUUCAAGAGCUGCCUUGGAAGGCAGUUUUCUGGAUCAGUUGCAGUGAUCAACUCUGAUGCAUAAUCAAUAUUCUUGAUGUAGAGUUUCACUGAAGUUGGCAGCUCCAACAAUGUUUCUUUCCUGUCAGUGCAAGAUAGAUCAAACCCAGGAUAGCCACAGUAAUCUGGCUGCUUGCCUUUGAUUCUGAACGGGAAUCUUAUGACUGGACCAUGCUUCUUACACCUUGCUUCUUGGCACAUAUCUUUAAGGCCAACUCCAUGGCUUACAAGGAGUAGCAAUAACAAGCAAAGUACAGAGAGAUCCACGUCCAUGACUUGGAAUAUUUUCAGCUCCAUGCCCUAACAAAUGAUCUUAUCUUAAAACAUCCUUGUUGGUUUGCCUUUAUCUCCACUGACUAGCAAUAUUUCCUUUGACUUGGCUUUAUUACUCUAUUUGAUCAAUGCUAAUUUUUUAGCAUUAAAUUAGUGUUUCUUAAUGCCUGCAAGUCUGGAUACCAUUAUUUUUCUUUUCCUUUUGGGUUAUGAUGUGUAACUGCUAGGAAAAAGGUCAAAUAUGUCAACUUGAGGAACCAUCAGUUUUUCUUUUCUUUUCUUUUUAGAGCAUGUUAAUUUUUAUGUUAAAAAAAUAAUUUAUUUUUUUAAAUUAAUUUUAUUUUGGUAUUUUUUUUAUUUUUUUAAUAUAUUGAUAUUAAAAAUAUUUUUUUAAUAAAAUAUUUUUUUAAUACAUUUCUAAAUAAAAAAGAUUUUAAAAAAUAACUAUUACUACAAUACUAAAUAUGCUUUUAAUUGAUAAAUCUCUAUAUUAUUACUAUGAAAGAAAUAGGAAAAUAUAUUACGUGAGUUUGUGUAUUUUUUCCUUAAAAUAAAAAUUAGUAUUGUUUGAAAAAAAGAUUUUUCACAAAGUAACAUAAGUCAAAAACAUUUUAGUAAAUAAAAAUCACGGUUGCUAAUAGCAACAAUUGGAAAUAGAGAUUUUCUAAAAUGUGCUAUGACCUUUCUCUUUUUAAAGAUUGAAGAACAAGGCAGAUUUAGUAAUCAUGGACAUGUGUCUUGCAUUGAGGAUGACUGCAAGUCAGUGCUGACACCAUUGUGGAUGAAGGGCCUUGAUUGGAAGAAGAAAAAUGCAUAAUGGAGGGACUCAAUUAAUUAAAUUAGUAGUUGAGAGACUCAAUUAGUCAAACUACAAUAGAACAAGGACCACAUCUACAAUCAACCCUUGCAUAAAAAAUUGGCACCAUUCAGAUUUGGGUCUCGAACUUUCUUGUUUUUCAUUUUAAUUUAAUUUUAGUGUAUUUAAUCUUACCUGUCCCCUUGGCACAUAUCAGAUUCGGAGUACAAGGGUUAAUAUGAAUAACUUUCAAGACUACAGGGAGCACAAAUCGUUCAACACCAAAAUAAUUUUUUUCUUUUUGGUUGAGGUGCACAAGCAAAUGCUGGCCAGUUGGGAGACUCCAUUAGCAGUGAUGAUAUUUCUGCUGAAAUAUCGAAGUAUCCAUUGGAGUUUGGCUUAUACGAACCUUUCUAGUUCAGGGGAAAGGUGAAAAACAUUUGGAAUCAACCUUCCCUCUUAUCACUCCAAGAACCAAAAGAAUAUAGUUCAAAGAUUCAUACUUGGCACGCAUUGAUCAUAUUUAUUGAAGGCUUUAGGGUAUCCAACAAACUGUGGCUACACUUUGUAUGAGGUAGCUUGUGGGAACAAUCAAAUAGUCCUCUACAUGUAUUCAGGAAAAUAUUCAUCUGAAAAAACGAUUAUCUAGUAUAGAGAUUUGUAUGAUUACUCUGCCUCGGUGAUCACUUCCAGAGCUUGAUGAAGAGGUCUCCCCGGCAUAUUGGCAUUCCUUCUUCCUGGACCUGCAGAAGCAAAAGGGCUGGGAGGCAUUGUCAAUGUGUCCCCUUCUCCUUCCAGCAUUUGAACUACAGCAUUCAUGGAGGGACGAUCCACGGGGUGCCAUUGAAUGCACCAAAGUCCUACAAUUGUUAGCUUCUUGGCAAUCUGUGCAUCACCCUCCUUUUCAAUUCUGAUUCGCAGCUCUUCUCCAUUAUCCAGGCUGUUGUAGACCCAUUCAGGGAAGUAGAUUUGGUUGUUGUUCUCUAUCUUAUCAUCGAUAGUCUUCCUCCCUCCAACCAUUUCAAGCAGCACCAUUCCAAAACCAUAAACAUCAGACUUGUAGGAUACAUUACCGAAGUUCCUAGAGAACACUUCAGGUGCAAUGUACCCCAAGGUUCCUCUAGCUGUAGUCAUGGAAACUGCACUCUGAUCCUUGGAGCAUAGUUUCGCCAGACCGAAAUCAGAGAUUUUUGGAUUGAAAUUGUCGUCUAGCAAGAUGUUAUGAGGUUUGAUGUCGAAAUGGAGGAUUCGCUGAUCACAACCUUGGUGAAGAUACUCUAUUCCUUUGGCCAUGCCAAGAGCAAUAUCCUGAAGUUUCUCCCAACUAAGAGCGGAUGCGUCGCCAUGCUCUGAAGAUAUAAAUUUCUCUAGUGAUUCAUUUGACAGGUAGUCGUAAACUAGAGCUCUUCUAAAUCCAUCAGCACAGUAGCCGACUAAGCGAAUAACGUUGACGUGAUGGAUUUUUCCCAUUGUUCCCACUUCAUUAACGAACUCUUCUCCAUUCCCUGUUGAAUUGUUCAGGAUCUUCACGGCUACAAAGAUCUCAUCAGAAAGCUGUCCUUUGAACACAGUUCCAUACGCUCCCUGACCCAACUUGUCCUUGAAUUCAUUCGUAAUCCUUUUUAUGUCGGCAUACGUAUAUCUGGUGGGCUUGAAAGCUUUAUAAUCUGCCAAAAAGUUUUCAAUCCUUUUCUGAUUUUCUUUCGCUGCUUUGUCAGAGCUGUAGACACGGAAGGCUGCAAAAAAAACCAGUAAUAGAAGAACCGAACCCACGGUCGCGACUGCAUAGAAAAUAUUUGUGAUCAAUAAAUCAUCAAUUUAGUUUAGACGUUGCUAGGUAAGGAAAGAAGUUGAAAAUGCCAAAUUCGCAGAAUUCUCACCUGAAGCCUCUAUCUUUUUCUUGAUGUCUGGAAAGAAAAUAUAUGGUAUCGUCAGCUUCUUUAGCAGCAUGUAUUUGAGAAUAAUAAUCCAUGGAUUCUAUGGAAACCAUGACUAAGGAGCCUAAUUCCAAAGAUUUAUCAAGUAGCCAACCUAAUGAUAUAUGGACAAAUUUGUUUCCAAUUAAGUUCACUUCAAACUUAUUUUUAUGUUCAACGUGACAUGGAUACUAUAUAUUUCAUCUCUAAUGCUUGAAGAACUGACAAGAAAAUUUGAUUUUCUAAACUAACAAAUGAUCCAAUAGUUCCAAGAUGAACAGAAAAAUGUGCAAGACAGACCAUACCUUCUUUUGAUUUAGGCUUGUCAUAGCAUUCAGUUCCAAGCCCAGCACUGUUAUUCUUCGAUCUGCAGAACUUGCCAUGAGCUUCACAAUGUACACAUUCUGGCCCUGACCAAUUCAAAUGAAGUAUAUUGUUCUGCCAAAAGAUUUCCCCUGGAAUUGAUGAAAGAUUAUACAUCUUGGUACAAGAAGUCAGGUCGCUAUAGCCGAUGAGAUAAGAGGAAAAAUAGGCAAAAAUAUCAUAUCCAGGACCACUAAGGCAAGCCAGUUGCCGAGAUGUAUCUCCCUUCCAUGAUGUACAGUUGAAAAAUGCAUAAUCAUCCUGCUCCAUGUCUCCAAACUUGAAAGGAGACGUAGACAAAUUGAAGUGUCUGAGCUGUCCUGGGAGGCAUUGAUCUGGGUCACUAGCGAUGAUCAACUGUGAUGCGUAGUCAAUUUUGUUGACGUAUAGUUUCACAGAAUUUGGUAGCUGCAACAACGUUUCUCUCCUGUCCGUGCAGGAUAGCUCAAACCCAGGAUAGCUACAGUUAUCUGGCUGCUUUUCUCUGAGGCUGAAUGGAAAUCUUAUGGCUGGACCGUCGUUCUUACACCUCGCUUCUUGGCACGGAUCAGGAAGGCCAACUCCAUGACCUACAAGGACCAGCAUCAACAAGCCAACUACAGAGAGAUCCAUUUCCAAAGACAAGUUCUUUUGCGCUCAGCAGCCCUGCAAAUGAUGUUCUUAUCUUGAGAUUGCAACUUGUGGUUUGGCUCUUUAGAGUAAUUUCUGCUUACUUUACUCCAUUGACUUAAAUCAUGGAAAAAUAUUUCAAGAACUGUCAUGGUCUUUGUGGAAUAUAUUUUUGCGUGUGAGUUAGUGAGAUUGGGAUGUGAAAUUGCUAGGAAAGUCGGAGCCAAAUCUGUCACCUCAAGAAAGCAUGGAAUUGUAACCAAAGGUUAGGGAUAAGUCAUAAGUUGUUGUCUAGUUACUCUAGUUUGUAAAUUUUCCAUGGAUUAGAUAAGCAAGAAUCCUUCUUCCAUCCCAAGAGAAAGCAUUAAAUUUUGUGUGAUUUUUCUUCCAUUUUAAGAGAGAUCAAAUAUUUUUUGAAAACUAAAGUACGGUCAUCUAAAGCAAUACAAUGUUCCCAUUUCCAUAGUUGAUGCAUAGCUCAGAAAUUCUUCCUUGAUGCAGAAUUUCAAUGCACAUAGAUGUUGAAAGAGAUGAAUUAUAAAUUGGUUUUAGGUUUUUUUUUUAGUGUUAAGGUUUAAGAAUAUACCAUGACAAUGCUAGUGAGAUUAUUUUAUGUUAAGGUGUUGAUGUUUUCCAAACAAGUUGAUUAUAACCAAGAAAACCUCAUUAAGCCUCAACACAUCUAAAUUUGAUGUUUUGUUAGUGUUUUCCAACCCCACCUACAUUAAGUCUCAAUACACAAAAAAUUAAAUUAUAUAAAAUUUAACUGUAUUUUAAUUCAAGCCUAAAACAUUCUAAAAUAAUCCAAUCUAUUCCUCAAAAACCCAUAUAUCCAGUCCUCAUAUUAAAUCAAUUAAGCCAAAUUAACACUCUAAAACAUUAAUUAAACAUCUUAAAUUACCCAAAAUCCUCUAACCAAACCAAUAGACUCAAGCCUAAAACAACAAGAUCUCUAACUUUCACUUCUUCUUUCCUUUUGUACUUUCUCCUUUCUCUUUUUUUCCCCUUCUUUUCCUUUUUUUUUUUAUGUUCCUCUUUUUUUUUUUUUUUAUUGACUUCCUAUUUAUAUUUAUCAAAAAUAUACGAAAUGAUCCAAAAUAUCCCUAAAUUAUUUAUACCCUUAACUAUUCAUCAAAUGGUAUAAAUGUCUUUUCCAAUCCAUUAUUUUCAACAUAUUACAAAAUGUAUUAAUGGAGUUCUCAUAUUAUUAAUUUGAUCAAUUGAGUCCCUGUACUAUUUAUAAAGACAUUAGCGGUGUUUUGAUACAUGUUCCUAUUGACUAAAUCUAGCUUGGUAUUCAAUUUGUAAAAGAAAAAAAAACGAUCAACAAAUUAUAUUUGAUUUUUAUGAACUUUGAAUUAUUUAAGAUAAUUAAAUAAUAUAAAUAACAACAAUGUAAAACCCUAAGAUAUCCCGUAACUAAAUUAAAAACUUAUCUUUAAAUUACUGUUUCUUUUUCUUAAUUAUUUUAAUGGAAUUUAUGGGAUAUUUUGAUGUUUUUUUGUUGUUUUAAAAUUAUUAUAUCUCUUCCUAGCUUUUUUUGCCUUUUAAGAACUAAGGAUCAUGAUAGAUUUGUCAACAUAAAAACGUGUCAUGUAUCGAGUGUGAUGGAAACUCGUUGCUAAUUCCAUCAUGGAUGAAUGGUUCUGAUUGCAAACAAAACGAGUAUUUAAUGGAAUUAAUGAAUUAAAUCAGCAGUCAUGGGACUUGAUUAGUCAAAUUACAAUAGUUUAGGGACCAAAAGUAACUAUUUCAGAAAAUACCGGCAAUAAUCAAAUUUGGGUAUAAGACUUUUUUAAAUUUAAUUUUAUUAUAUUAAUCUCAAUUGUCACCCAGGCACAUAUCAGAGCCUCAAUUUUACAAGCCUAACAGAGUUAGCAACCCAUCCACCUCGUCAGAUAUGAAAGCAGGGGACGCGCACACAAACAAAAUUCUGAAGUUGAAGGACCACCACGACCAAAUUCACAGUAGGAUGAAUUUAUCCUUGUCAAAACUCAAAGUCCUUGAACUGGAUGUUUGGUACUGAACCAGAUAUCUGGAACAGUCAGUACUAUGCUAUUUCACGAAGUUGAUGCAGAGCAAAAGAGUUUUUCCUCUCUUUUUUUUGGUUGGAAUGCACAAGCUAGCAAAUGCUGGCCAUAUGGAAAAGCUCAAUACUUUUGAUGGGGGACUGCAUCAGCAGUGAUGAUAGUUCUGUUGAAACAUUCAAAUAUCCAUUGGAGUCUGGCUCAUACCUUUCCAAUCCAGGGGAAAGGCGAAAAACAUUCGAAAUUAACCUUCAUUCUUAUCACUUAAAGAACCAAAGAAUAGAGUUCAAAGAUUCAUAAUCUGUAUGCAUUGAUCAUAUUUAUUGAAAGCUUUAGGGGAUCCACCAAAAUGUGGUUACACCUUAUAUGAGAUAGCUUGUGAGAACAAUCGAGUAGUUCAGGAAAAUACUCCAGUUACGGAGACCUCUUUGACCGGCUUCUAUUCAGCAAUGAACACGCUAAGGAUGUCACCGAAGAGUGUAAAUCAGGUGAAGUCUCCUGAAAAAACGAUUAUCUAGUAUAGAGCAUUGUAUGGUCACUCUGCCUCUGAGAUCACUUCCAAAGCUUGAUGAAGAGGUCUCCCCGGCAUAUUGACAUUCCUUCUUCCUUGACCUGCAGAAGCAAAAGGGCUGGGAGGCAUUGUUAAUGUGUCCCCUGCUCCUUCCAACAUUUGAACUACAGCAUUCAUUGAGGGACGAUCCACAGGGUGCCAUUGAAUGCACCAAAGUCCUACAAUUGUCAGCUUCUUGGCAAUCUGUGCAUCACCCUCCUUUUCAAUUCUGAUUCUCAGCUCUUCUCCAUUAUCCAGGCUGUUGUAGACCCAUUCUGGGAAGUAGAUUUGGUUGUUGUUCUCUAUCUUAUCAUCGAUAGUCUUCCUCCCUCCAACCAUUUCAAGCAGCACCAUUCCAAAACUAUAAACAUCAGACUUGUAGGAUACAUUACCGAAGUUCCUAGAGAACACUUCAGGUGCAAUGUACCCCAAGGUUCCUCUAGCUGUAGUCAUGGAAACUGCACUCUGAUCCUUGGAGCAUAGUUUCGCCAGACCAAAAUCAGAGAUUUUUGGAUUGAAAUUGUCGUCUAGCAAGAUGUUAUGAGGUUUGAUGUCGAAAUGGAGGAUUCGCUGAUCACAACCUUGGUGAAGAUACUCUAUUCCUUUGGCCAUGCCAAGAGCAAUAUCCUGAAGUUUCUCCCAACUAAGAGCGGUUGCGUCGCCCUGCUCGGAAGAUAUAAAUUUCUCUAGUGAUUCAUUUGACAGGUAGUCGUAAACUAGAGCUCUUCUAAAUCCAUCAGCACAGUAGCCGACUAAGCGAAUAACGUUGACGUGAUGGAUUUUUCCCAUUGUUCCCACUUCAUUAACGAACUCUUCUCCAUUCCCUGUUGAAUUGUUCAGGAUCUUCACGGCUA